AUAGGAAAGUAAACUGGACCGUCUGUUCGAAAAUUGAGUCCGAUAUUUCGAGCGAUGUAGAUUCGAAUUUUUCACUGCGGCUUGAAGAGCAUGAAGCAGAAGGAGAGAAUGAUGAAUGGUGGGUGGUCCUCCAGCUGCCCUACCUGAUAUUUUCUGAUAUUUCCUGCUAGAGGUCAAGAGGUCAAGUAGUACCACCUGCUGCUUCAUGUGAGUAUUCGACAUUGUAAAGUACUCAUGAUAGACACUGUGUGUUGCAAAAGGUUUGAAUAGGGAU